GAUGAACGCUGGCGGCGUGCCUAAUACAUGCAAGUCGAGCGAACAGACGAGGAGCUUGCUCCUCUGACGUUAGCGGCGGACGGGUGAGUAACACGUGGAUAACCUACCUAUAAGACUGGGAUAACUUCGGGAAACCGGAGCUAAUACCGGAUAAUAUAUUGAACCGCAUGGUUCAAUAGUGAAAGACGGUUUUGCUGUCACUUAUAGAUGGAUCCGCGCCGCAUUAGCUAGUUGGUAAGGUAACGGCUUACCAAGGCAACGAUGCGUAGCCGACCUGAGAGGGUGAUAGGCCACACUGGAGCUGAGACACGGUCCAGACUCCUACGGGAGGCAGCAGUAGGGAAUCUUCCGCAGUGGGCGAAAGCCUGACGGAGCAACGCCGCGUGAGUGAUGAAGAUCUUCGGUGCGUAAAACUCUGUUAUUAGUGAAGAACAAAUGUGUAAGUAACUAUGCACGUCUUGACGGUACCUAGUCAGAAAGCCACGGCUAACUACGUG
rnacentral:rRNA from 1 species